AAGUAUAUUUGCAAUAAAUGGUGAGUCAGAAUUUAAACACAGUAAUUUCAGAGCCAGGGAGUUUUAUUCCCCUCUGGCAUUUACUCUGCCAUUGACAAGACAUGGCGCUGCUUAGGAUGCUGGAAGCAAGGCGUCCUCUCUCCACAUUCUCCAACCUGCAGCUCCUGGGCAGACACAAGUUCCUCUGUCUCUCCUCUGUCCUCUCACUGGGGACUCUAAUCCAGAACAGCUCUCUGCUCCCCACAGGCUCAGCAGUUUACCUUCAGGCACAGGGCCAUCUGCUGGCCAAACGCAGCGAUCAUGUGACAGCACGUGUGCCUUCAAACCAGGGCUACUUUACUAAUACAGACCCAACUAACAAGUUUUAUUAAAACAGUAAGUGACUGUCAGAGAGGUACAAAUCAGGAAAUUGAUCUGUUUCCUGAUGUCAUUUUGGUUUUAAGUUCCAUAGAGACAAGAAAGAAAGAGAAGGAUAUGCUGAAGAAUAAGCACAAAUUUUGGCUACACAGGCAGAACUGAGUAAUUGCUUAAAGGAAAACUCGGCAUACUCAUUUUCAUUAUCUAACAUUUGUCAUGUGGCUUCUGGGUCCCAAGCACUUUCAUCUGUAAGGCAGAAAAUCAGAAGCUUUAAGCAAAGAAACUUACACUGAGCCACACACUAGCAAGUGCAGUGGUAAAGGUUAGACCGCCCGCCCAGCUUAGUGAGCCGGGCCCUUGCAACUCCUCGGCUCCCUGCUCUGUCCUCAGCUGUGCUCUGCUGUCCUCUGCUGUCCUCUGCCAGCAAUGAACACUAAAAUGCAUGGACUUCUAGAGCUUUCACCCUGUGGCAGAAAACAUCUGGAUGCUAUUUCAACAUGAAGGGCCUUUCUUUUCCUAUAAAAGCUUCCAGCUUCUCAUGGUUCAUAGCAAGAAAAGGCCUUACUACAAAGUUGUUGACUAUAACAGAAAGAUUUUCAGAUUCACUGCUGUGAUUCUUUUGUAUUUUUAUCAACAGGCAUUAGCAUAACAUUUUUCAAAUUUAUAUCCACAGAAUUAAAAAAGUUUCCCCCCCUUUAUUAUAAAGCAAUAGCUGUUCAAGGUUGAAAACACAGCGUGCUGAAAAAUAGACAUUACUUCUCAUUGUUCAACUAGAACAUGUGACUUGCUUUUACAUAGCUGGAGUUGCACAAGAAUGUAUUCCAUUUUUUGUGGGUUUGUUUUUUGGUACCGGGGAUCGAACUUGGGUCCUUGAGCUUGUGAGGCAGGUGGUGGAACCACUGAGCUAAAUCCCCGGCCCAAUAUUCCAUUUUUUCCAUUAACAUUAUAUUUAUUUC
rnacentral:lncRNA from 1 species